rnacentral:piRNA from 1 species
UAAUCUUUUUCUGUUCAAUAG